rnacentral:rRNA from 1 species
GUAGCACGGGGGAGCUUGCUCCCUGGGUGACGAGCGGCGGCCUGGUGAGUAAUGUCUGGGAAACUGCCUGAUGGAGGGGGAUCACUACUGGAAACGGUAGCUAAUACCGCAUAACGUCGCAAGACCAAAGUGGGGGACCUUCGGGCCUCACGCCAUCAGAUGUGCCCAGAUGGGAUUAGCUAGUAGGUGGGGUAAUGGCUCACCUAGGCGACGAUCCCUAGCUGGUCUGAGAGGAUGACCAGCCACACUGGAACUGAGACACGGUCCAGACUCCUACGGGAGGCAGCAGUGGGGAAUAUUGCACAAUGGGCGCAAGCCUGAUGCAGCCAUGCCGCGUGUGUGAAGAAGGCCUUCGGGUUGUAAAGCACUUUCAGCGAGGAGGAAGGGUGGUGUCUUAAUACGGCAUCACAUUGACGUUACUCGCAGAAGAAGCACCGGCUAACUCCGCGCCCGCAGCCGCGGUAAUACGGAGGGUGCAAGCGUUAAUCGGAAUUACUGGGCGUAAAGCGCACGCAGGCGGUUUGUUAAGCCAGAUGUGAACUCCCCGGGCUCAACCUGGGAACUGCAUUUGAGACUGGCUAGCUAGAUUCUCGUAGAGGGGGGUAGAUUUCCGGGUGUAGCGGCGAAAUGCGUAAGAGACUGGAGGAAUACCGGUGGCGACGGCCGCCCCUUGGCAAAAGACUGACUCUCAGGUGCCAAAGCGGGGGGAGCCACAGGAUUAGAUCCCUGUUAGUCCAUUUUAUAAACGAUUUCUAUUUGCAUCUCUCCCCUUCAAGUGUGUCUUUCGGAUUUUAACCUUUAAACCCCCCCUUGGGGGAGUACUGCCCUCAGGCUAACACUCUAAUGAAUUGACGCGCGCCCACUCAAACGGUUCGCCAUGUUGUUUAUAUUAGUCGCCAC